GAUGAACGCUGGCGGCGUGCCUAAUACAUGCAAGUCGAGCGAAGCGGGGACGGGUGAGUUACACGCGGAUAACCCCCUAUAAGACCGGGAUAACUCCGGGAAACCGGAGUUAUACCCGAGACUUAUAGUUGGAUCCACGCUGCAUUAGCUAGGUGGUAAGGUAACGGCUUACAAAGUCAACGAUGCAUGGCCGACCUAGGAGAGUGAUCGGCCACACUGGAACUGGGACACGGUCCAGACUCCAACGUGAGUCAGCAGUAGGGAAUCUUCCGCAAUGGGCGAAAGCCUAACGGAGGAACGCCGCGUGAGUAUUGAAGGUCUUCGGAUCGUAAGACUCUGUUAUAAGGGAAACGGUACCUAAUCAGAAAGCCACGGCUAACUACGUGACAGCAGCCGCGGUAAGUC
rnacentral:rRNA from 1 species